rnacentral:piRNA from 10 species
UUGGUGGUUCAGUGGUAGAAUUCUCGCC